CCUAAACCACCUUAUUCCCCAAGCCCUAAACCGCCUUACGUGCCAAAACCACCUCAUACUCCAGUCCCUAGGCCACCAUAUUUCCCCAAACCACCUUACACACCAAGGCCUAAGCCACCAUAUGCGCCAAAACCACCUUAUACGCCAACCCCUAAGCCACCAUAUUUCCCCAAACCACCUUACACACCAAGGCCGAAGCCACCAUAUGUGCCAAAACCACCUUAUACGCCAGCCCCUAAGCCACCAUAUUUUCCCAAACCACCUUACACACCAAGGCCUAAGCCACCAUAUGCACCAAAACCACCUUAUACGCCAACACCUAAGCCACCAUAUUUCCCCAAACCACCUUACACACCAAGGCCUAAGCCACCGUACGUGCCAAAACCACCGUACACACCAAGGCCUAAGCCACCGUACGUGCCAAAACCACCAUACACACCAACCCCUAAGCCACCGUACGUGCCAAAACCACCUUACACCCCAACCCCUAAGCCACCGUACGUGCCAAAACCACCGUAUACCCCAACUCCUAAGCCACCGUACGUCCCAUCGCCAC
rnacentral:lncRNA from 1 species